UAAGAAACCAGUCUAUUUGCUGUCUGAUGGGGGCGCUAUUUUAUGCCACCACUAAUGCCAAAAAAAUUUUACAAUAAGAAACGCGUGUUCAGUAAUUUUUGAGCAAAAAAAUAAAUAAAUAAAAUAAAUUAUAAUAAUAAACAAACAAACAAACAAACAAACAAAAAAAAAACAAUCUCAAACCUUAAACAGAAUGGCACUGUUAGACUAUUGCAGAAACACGUGUUGUUUGUCUAAAAUGCUGUGGCAGAAAUCACAUAGGAUACUGAAUUUGUUACGACUUUGAUCUUAAGCAGAUCGUUUACACUAAAGAUUCUGUCGAAAAUUCUCUAAUUUACUACCAAAGUUACUAUCCUAUUUUCCGUUAAUUUGCUAUUCAUAUAUAAAGACUGUUCUAAUAAUUGAUAGCCAACACAUAGCCUACUGUUCUACAAAAAAGCGCAGAUAGUAUUUAUCCUGCACAGUGUUUCGAAUCAUCACUCUAAUUAGACUGUACAGACAGAUGAACGGUUGAAUAACAUUGGGUUACGCUUGGAUCACUCAGAGGGCAAGAUGACUUCAUACACGUGGAUUUUACUCAUUCUGGCAAGUCUUGUGGCAACAAGAGCGCAAGAUUUUGACCUCAGUGAUGCUUUUUAUGAGGCUGACAAGCAGGGUAGGGGAGCACAGGGUGGUGAGGAGACUCUCAGCGCAGAGUCUGCAGCGGCUAUGGAGUGUCAGAAGGUCCACAGCAUGAGUGCACCCCGACCGCAUGGCACGGGUGGAAGUGGCCACGUGCUGACUGAGGGUGUCCUUCAGACACAGAGAGAUACAACUGAUGCAAUUACAGUCAUAGCAGAUGAGCUUAAGCAAAUAAAGGUUGUGUUGUGUGACAUUGCAUCUACAUUAAAAGAUCUUGUUAAAAAAUGA
ensembl:lncRNA